rnacentral:rRNA from 1 species
UACAGAGGGGGCAAGCGUUAUUCGGAAUUAUUGGGCGUAAAGGGCGCGUAGGCGGCUUGGCAAGUGGAAGGUGAAAUCCCUCGGCUUAACCGAGGAACUGCCCUCCAAACUGCUUUGCUUGAGGCCGGGAGAGGUGAGUGGAAUUCCCAGUGUAGCGGUGAAAUGCGUAGAUAUUGGGAGGAACACCAGUGGCGAAGGCGGCUCACUGGACCGGUUCUGACGCUGAGGCGCGAAAGCUAGGGUAGCAAACGGG